rnacentral:rRNA from 1 species
GAUGAACGCUGGCGGCGUGCCUAAUACAUGCAAGUCGAGCGGACAGACGCGGAGCUUGCUGCUCUGACGUUAGCGGCGGCCGGGUGAGUAACACGUGGAUAACCUCCCUAUCAGACUGGGAUAACUACGGGAAAGCGGAGCUACUACCAGGUAAUAUAUUGAAUCGCAUGGAUCAAUAGUGAAGGACGGUUUUGCUGUCACUGAUAGAUGGAUCCGCGCCGCAUUAGCUAGUUGGUAGGGUAACGGCUUACCAAGGCAACGAUGCGUAGCCGGCCUGAGAGGGGGAUCGGCCACACCGCAGCUGAGACACGGUCCAGACGCCUACGGGAGGCAGCAGUAGGGAAGCUUCCGCAAUGGGCGAAAGCCUGACGGAGCAACGCCGCGUGAGGGAUGAAGGUCUUCGGAUCGUAAAACUCUGUUAUUAGGGAAGAACAAAUGUGGAAGUAACUAUGCACGUCUUGACGGUACCUAAUCAGAAAGCCACGGCUAACUACGUG